rnacentral:rRNA from 1 species
AUUGAACGCUGGCGGCAGGCCUAACACAUGCAAGUCGAGCGGAUGAAGGGAGCUUGCUCCUGGAUUCAGCGGCGGACGGGUGAGUAAUGCCUAGGAAUCUGCCUGGUAGUGGGGGAUAACGUCCGGAAACGGGCGCUAAUACCGCAUACGUCCUGAGGGAGAAAGUGGGGGAUCUUCGGACCUCACGCUAUCAGAUGAGCCUAGGUCGGAUUAGCUAGUUGGUGGGGUAAAGGCCUACCAAGGCGACGAUCCGUAACUGGUCUGAGAGGAUGAUCAGUCACACUGGAACUGAGACACGGUCCAGACUCCUACGGGAGGCAGCAGUGGGGAAUAUUGGGCAAGGGGCGAAAGCCUGAUCCAGCCAUGCCGCGUGUGUGAAGAAGGUCUUCGGAUUGUAAAGCACUUUAAGUUGGGAGGAAGGGCAGUAAGUUAAUACCUUGCUGUUUUGACGUUACCAACAGAAUAAGCACCGGCUAACUUCGUG